rfam:Mustela putorius furo unplaced genomic scaffold scaffold00309, whole genome shotgun sequence.
AUCUUUGCGCAGUGGCAGUAUCGUAGCCAAUGAGGUUUAUCCGAGGCACGAUUAUUGCUAAUUGAAAAUAAAAAUUAAAAAAUUAUUGCUAAUACUUCUGGUUUUCAGUUGAUAAAAAAAUAAUACUACAAAUAUAUA